CAGCAGCCGCGGUAAUACCAGCCCCGCGAGUGGUCGGGACGGUUAUUGGGCCUAAAGCGCCCGUAGCCGGCCCGGCAAGUCCCUCCUUAAAGCCUCGGGCCCAACCCGAGGACGGGGGGGAUACUGCCGGGCUAGGGGGCGGGAGAGGCCGGCGGUACUCCCGGGGUAGGGGCGAAAUCCGUUAAUCCCGGGGGGACCACCAGUGGCGAAGGCGGCCGGCUGGAACGCGCCCGACGGUGAGGGGCGAAAGCCGGGGGAGCGAACCGGAUUAGAUACCCGGGUAGUCCCGGCUGUAAACGAUGCGGGCUAGCUGUUGGGCGGGCUUAGAGCCCGCCCAGUGGCGCAGGGAAGCCGUUAAGUCCGCCGCCUGGGGAGUACGGCCGCAAGGCUGAAACUUAAAGGAAUUGGCGGG
rnacentral:rRNA from 1 species